GCCUCGCUCGCUUCCUCUCCUUCGGCAGCCGCCUCCCUCCCUCCCUCCCACUCACCGCCGAUCCCGUCCCUCCUAUCCUCCCUGUUCAUCCAUAGCCCGGCGUGACCAGUGCUCGAUGAGGCGAGGGAGAGCGACCAAUCCCCGUCACGCCAAUCUCCCGUACACCCCCUGCCAUCGCGCUGCUGCCGUCGCUGCCGCUUGCCAUCCCCAGCGUCUCCUCCCCACACCCAAGGCCUCCCCUUGCUCCGCCUCUUCCUCCCAUCUCACCAGAACCGCAGCACAGGACCUCCCACGCUCGCUCGCAAGGCUGGGCAUCGCCUUCAUCGCCGGCGUGGCUCCGGCGGACUCUAGCGGCUCCUCUCCAUCUCCUCCCUCGCCCCCACAUGUGUGGUUCUGCUUCCGCUCGCCAUGGGGUGCAGCCUUGCAGGGGCGCAUCGGGCUGGGCCUCCUCUGUUUCAGAUGAGUUCAUCCCCAUCCUCCUCCUCCCCCUCCUCUCUGAUCUGCUCUACCUCUCACCCUCUAUUGUCCUUCCUUCUCUCUUAAUUUGGUGCAGCAGCCGCUGUCGGUCAAGUUCUUGGUGGAGAUGCAGCUGAUGCUCAAAGUGAUUCAUCAGGGAGGACCUCCGCCAGUAGAGGGAUGGCUUCUGUCCAAAGGCUUAGGUAUUGUUAUUGAACUACAAGAUAAUGUUGUUGGUCUUCCCAGAACAAAAAAAGUGUUUUUGACACUACCAUCGAUGGGGUCUUCAGCGCUUUAACCAUUGAAGCUUCUGAAGAUUCUAUCAAAGCAUGUGGGUUUAUAUUGGUUCUACAUUAGAGGAUUAAAUUGUAAACUGCUAGCAAAGCUACACUGCGGACUACAGAGUUGAUCUGAAUCUCUGCUAUUGUAAGGUGUGCUGCUUCUACUUGAAUAAAAGCUGAUAUUGCCAUGAUCCUUAGUCAUGUGUUCUUAAAAGAAAGGGUUUUGCAUGGACAGAUGGAAUCAAAAAUCUUGGGAACCUGAUAGCAUUCAUUUUUUUAUCCUGGGUGCUGCUAGAUCCCGUGUAACUGAAUGUUCUUUUCCAUGUAAGCGGAACCAUGCCCAUGCGACGGUACUGAACAAAGUUGUGCACAUGGUUGUGGACUCUGGACACUCUACACAAAAGAAAUUUGUAUAAAUGUACAAUGCUCUGUUUGAAGCCUCCUCAUAUGAUAUUGGAAGGAACUCGAGCGGAAGGCUGCCGGCGGAGCCUGUAUCAGUGGACAUGGAAGAAAUUAGCCCAAGCCCAAUGAAACUUCUCUCUGAAGCAAGCUUUUGUGUUGGUACUUUCAGUUCUUUGAGAUUCCCAUUUGUGCAAAAACAUCAGUGAUGUGGCAGAGAAGGUGGAUUGUAGCAACAAUGUGAAACAGUUGGAUGCUUGGUGGAUUUGAAUGGGGUUCAUUGUAGGCGAGUGCGUGAAUUUGCGGACUCACAUGCAUCAUUAGCAUCCCUUAUCUACUCACCCAUUAGUUCAAUGUAUUCUGCUUGGAUAGCUGAAUGUAUUAUUUUGAACUACUGAACCUUUGCACUUUUGUUGUGACAUACUGAAACUUUGCACCAUUGUUUUUAAUUGUAUAAAUGUAUGAAAUAAAAAAAUGUCUUA